rnacentral:siRNA from 1 species
UGUCCAAGUCUUUCAUGUCAUA